rnacentral:rRNA from 1 species
UCUCCUGGAAACGGGUGGUAAUGCCGGAUGUUCCACAUGAGCGCAUGCGAGUGUGGGAAAGGCUUUUUGCGGCAUGGGAUGGGGUCGCGUCCUAUCAGCUUGUUGGUGGGGUAACGGCCUACCAAGGCGUUGACGGGUAGCCGGCCUGAGAGGGCGACCGGCCACAUUGGGACUGAGAUACGGCCCAGACUCCUACGGGAGGCAGCAGUGGGGAAUAUUGCACAAUGGGCGCAAGCCUGAUGCAGCGACGCCGCGUGCGGGAUGGAGGCCUUCGGGUUGUAAACCGCUUUUGUUCAAGGGCAAGGCACGGUUUUUUGGCCGUGUUGAGUGGAUUGUUCGAAUAAGCACCGGCUAACUACGUGCCAGCAGCCGCGGUAAUACGUAGGGUGCAAGCGUUAUCCGGAUUUAUUGGGCGUAAAGGGCUCGUAGGCGGUUCGUCGCGUCCGGUGUGAAAGUCCAUCGCUUAACGGUGGAUCCGCGCCGGGUACGGGCGGGCUUGAGUGCGGUAGGGGAGACUGGAAUUCCCGGUGUAACGGUGGAAUGUGUAGAUAU